rnacentral:rRNA from 1 species
GAUGAACGCUGGCGGCGUGCCUAAUACAUGCAAGUCGAGCGGUAAGGCUCUGCACAGGUUAUUUGAUCCAUUACAUAUGUAAUUAGCAGCUUUUGGCUAAAGAGCGGUGAAGAGAUCGAAUGAUGUGUGUAGAGUACACGAGCGGCGGACGGCUGAGUAACGCGUAGGAACAUACCCCAAAGUGAGGGAUAACUGCCCGAAAGGGUAGCUAAUACCGCAUGUGGUCUUCGGAUUAAAGCUUUAUGCGCUU